AAUGAACGUUGGCGGCGUGGAUUAGGCAUGCAAGUCGAGCGAGAAUCGUAGCAAUACGAGGACAGUGGCGACAGGGAGAGGAAUACGUAGAAAUCUACCCCUGAGUUCGGGAUAGCGCCGGGAAACUGGCAGUAAUACCGGAUACUGUCUUAGGACCAAAGGUUGGAUUACACUUGUGGAUUAGUCUACGUCCUAUUAGCUAGUUUGUGGGGUAAUGGCCUACCAAGGCGAUGAGGGGUAGCGGGUGUGAGAGCAUGACCCGCCUCACUGGGACUGAGAACUGCCCAGACACCUACGGGUGGCUGCAGUCGAGAAUCUUUGUCAAUGGACGAAAGUCUGAACAAGCGACGCCGCGUGCGGGAUGAAGGCCUUCGGGUUGUAAACCGCUGUCGUAGGGGAACAAAUGUACGUGGUACUCCCCUGUAUUUGAGUGAUCCUAGGAGGAAGGAGAGGCUAAGCUCG
rnacentral:rRNA from 1 species